rnacentral:lncRNA from 1 species
GGGAAAGGGCCGCUAGGUGUCCGGUGCCUUUGCUGCGAGUUCUCUGACAAAAUUGGAGGCGGCGAAGCGCGUUCCUCGCGGCCCCCUAAAGUUUGGCCAUUUUAAGUGCAUCAUAGUGUCAGUGGAAUACGAUUUGGUUUUCCACGAGACGUAAAAGUAGGAGUUUCAAGAAUAAAAUGAAUUCUCUCCUCCAGCUUCGGUGACUUCGGCAGAGCUAAUUCUACGCACGCUCACUCGCGCCACCACCACUCUUUGCUAGAAAGCUGUGGCCGUCUCUUCGGCAGCUCGCUGCCUCCAUCAACUAACCCGGAGCAGCUUUCCCAGCGCCUAGACGCUGCCGGGGGCUGAGGUGGGGCAGAGGGGAGAAUGCCAGGGUCACAGAAUACUCCCCAAACCCUGCUCAGCCCUGCCCGCCCAGACUGGGAGGAAAAACAGCCCGCACCUCCUAACUGGGGGAGCCCCGGCCUAGU